rnacentral:tRNA from 1 species
GUCUCAGUAGCUCAGCAGGAUAGAGCAACAGCCUUCUAAGCUGUGGGCCGGGGGUUCGAAUCCCUCCUGAGACGCCA